UACAGAGGGUGCGAGCGUUAAUCGGAAUUACUGGGCGUAAAGCGUGCGCAGGCGGUUUUGUAAGUCAGAUGGGAAAUCCCCGGGCUUAACCUGGGAACUGCGUUUGUGACUGCAAGACUCGAGUACGGCAGAGGGGGGUGGAAUUCCACGUGUAGCAGUGAAAUGCGUAGAGAUGUGGAGGAACACCGAUGGCGAAGGCAGCCCCCUGGGUCGAUACUGACGCUCAUGCUCGAAAGCGUGGGGAGCAAACAGG
rnacentral:rRNA from 1 species